rnacentral:lncRNA from 1 species
UUGCUCUUUGACCUCAAAGCUCUCUAAUGAAGAGGAGACAUCCUUUCCAACAAGUAAUUACAGCAGAGUUGAGAAGACUAUUGUUCAUGCAGCUGCUUGUGAGGUUCAUGGAAGUAGGACGGAGAGGAAUGCUGGGAGUGUGCAGGCACAGCAGAGCCACUGAAGAAUUUUUAAAGCAGGCAACUGAGGUUGAACUGUACAUUUUACAGAUGGUCACAUGGAAAGUGGGUUGGAGACAUAAAGACCAUUGAGAAGCUCCUGCAAGUCCAGCACUGAGGAGCAGAGGUGCUGACUGACCAACUAACCUGAUAAUGGAAGGGAAGGGGUUGAACUCAAGACCUUGCACUUGCCAAGCAGACGCUGUGCCGCUGAGCUACAUCCCCAGCUGAAAAAUGCCUCUUAAAUAGUCUUCUUGUUUCAUUGUAUAUGUGCUGCCGAAGGGAGCACUUUCCUGUUUCAUUGUUAUCUCCUCCUCCUAUCAAGGAUCCCCCAGACUACUUGAAGUUUCAGUGAUUUGGUAAGAAGACAUACAGGGCUCAGAAUAUAAUCAUACAGCUAUGAUUUAGUAUAGCAAAGACAUUCAAAGAAAAAUCAACAGAUGGAAAAGGGACAGGGGACAAAGUCCAGAGGAAACCAGACCCAAAUUUCCAAGGGUCUUCUACCACUGAAGUCACAUAGGAUGACUUUAUUUCCCCCAACAAUGCCUUGUGAUGACAUUAAGUGAGAUGUUAGUAACCAGAUAAACUUGCACGAGACUCAGCACCCAGGCCUUACAGUACAUUGGGAGCCAGUCAUUUAGCCACUCUCUGCCUCUAUAUAUCAAAUUUUCAGAUUCCUCAGAGGAAAGCAGAAUUGUUCUGAAUUGUUACGGUUUAACAGUUUUUGUCCUACUAAAAUUCAUGUGUUGAGGGCUGGGGAUUUAGCUCAGUGGUUUUGCCACCUGCUGCGCAAGCACAAGGUCCCGAGUUCAAUCCCUGGUACCAAAAAAAUAAAAAUAAAAUAAAAUAAAAAAAUAAAAUUCGUGUGUUGAAAUCCUCACAAGUUGAUGUUAUUAAGAGGUUGGUCUUUUGGGGGGUGGUGAUUAGGUAAGGAGGGCAGAAUCUUCAUGAAUGGGAUUAGUGCCCUUAUAAAAGACAUCCAAGAGAGACCUCUCAUCCUUUCCACCAUGUAAGGACACAGCG